AGUGUGAUCGCUGGAUCAUAUGGUAAGGCUAUGGUUAGCUUUGUAAGAAACUGACAAGCUGUCUUCCAAAGUGGCUGUGCCAUUUUGCAUUUCCACCAGCCAU
rnacentral:pre_miRNA from 1 species